CUUUUGUACGUGUUUUCAUCAGAACAUUUGUGGGUCAUUUAACUAGGUAAAUCAGAAUCGGAUAAGAUUGGGAUGCUUGUUUGUGUACUCAGGUUACUCCCCAUUGCUCUCCUCCAGUGAAUCUCUUGCAAAAUGAUCAGCAUUCUAAAAAUACAUAUCUGGGAUUUUAAAAACACAUGCGUCAAAAUCUAGAUUUCUUCUUCCUACUGGAGAAUUAACCAUUUGUGCUUCUCUGGAAAAUCUACUGAGAUGCCACAGAAGCUUUCCUGAGCUCAGCGAACCCUCAACACCUUUGUGGUUUGCCCAGACUUCAGUCACAUCCAUACCAGAUACUGCUGCGAGGUCUGGAGCAGCGGCAGCCAUGGUGUGACUGUCCUGCCAUGCUUUCUCAUUGUGGAUGUCAGCAUUCUGGAUGGAAUAUUGAAUUAUUUUUUGCUUUAGAAUCGUUUAAUCCUUAGUAACGUAUUUUGCUUGAUUUUAUGUCAAUGCACAUGCAUCAACAUACACCACAAAUUACUUCAGGCAUCUCGUUUAUGUUACUGAAGCCUGCCUCCUCCUCCCUUUGCCUGCGUAGAUGGAGCAGGACUCAUUGUUGUGAACGCCAUACAGACAGGCCUUAUAAAGCACUGUCUGCUUAUCUGCCUCUAUCUGCUAUGGACUCACAUCUGAGCAUUAACUGUACCAGAAAAAGGCUGUGAACCCCUGGUCUAUGCCAAUUGCCAGCAACAAACCUGAGAACUGACUAGAGGGAAAGGAAUAUUGAGCAUCUGCUAUAUUACCAAGCAGUAAUUUACACGCGUUCCACUUAUCCUCAAACAAAUCUAAGAGGACAUCUGCUUUGUGCCCAUUUUAUAGGUGAGGAAGCUGAGGCUCCAAGAAGUUGAUAGAAAAUAUGCAAUGGAAAUUAAAUUCAGAAUCUGGUUUA